UCCGUUAUCAUCCAGCGGUAAGGAUAUCUGGCUCUCACCCAGGAGACUUCAGGUUCGAUUCCCGGUAGCGGAA
rnacentral:tRNA from 1 species